AGCUUUGCGCAGUGGCAGCAUCAUAGCUAAUGAGGUUUAUCUGAGGCGUGAUUAUUGCUAAUUGAAUUGAAACUUUAUUUACUUCUACUGUGGGCCUCUGACUUUGCUGUAAUACAAGUAAUUCUUUUCUUAUAGCUGUUUCCAGA